rnacentral:rRNA from 1 species
AACGAACGCUGGCGGCAGGCUUAAAACAUGCAAGUCGAACGGUCUCUUCGGAGGCAGUGGCAGACGGGUGAGUAACGCGUGGGAACGUACCUUUUGGUUCGGAACAACACAGGGAAACUUGUGCUAAUACCGGAUAAGCCCUUACGGGGAAAGAUUUAUCGCCGAAAGAUCGGCCCGCGUCUGAUUAGCUAGUUGGUGAGGUAAUGGCUCACCAAGGCGACGAUCAGUAGCUGGUCUGAGAGGAUGAUCAGCCACAUUGGGACUGAGACACGGCCCAAACUCCUACGGGAGGCAGCAGUGGGGAAUAUUGGACAAUGGGCGCAAGCCUGAUCCAGCCAUGCCGCGUGAGUGAUGAAGGCCCUAGGGUUGUAAAGCUCUUUUGUGCGGGAAGAUAAUGACGGUACCGCAAGAAUAAGCCCCGGCUAACUUCGUGCCAGCCGCCGCAGUAAUAC